AUCAUCUGGGAAUCUUGUUAAAAUGCAGAUUCUGGUCCUGAAGGUCAGAGGUGGGGCCCAGAUUCUGGUUCUGAAGGUCUGGGGUGGGGAUUCUGCAUUUUGAACAAGUUCUCUGGUGAUGCUGA
rnacentral:pre_miRNA from 1 species